AAUCUUCCACAAUGGGCGAAAGCCUGAUGGAGCAACGCCGCGUGUGUGAUGAAGGCUUUCGGGUCGUAAAGCACUGUUGUAUGGGAAGAACAGCUAGAAUAGGAAAUGAUUUUAGUUUGACGGUACCAUACCAGAAAGGGACGGCUAAAUACGUGCCAGCAGCCGCGGUAAUACGUAUGUCCCGAGCGUUAUCCGGAUUUAUUGGGCGUAAAGCGAGCGCAGACGGUUUAUUAAGUCUGAUGUGAAAGCCCGGAGCUCAACUCCGGAAUGGCAUUGGAAACUGGUUAACUUGAGUGCAGUAGAGGUAAGUGGAACUCCAUGUGUAGCGGUGGAAUGCGUAGAUAUAUGGAAGAACACCAGUGGCGAAGGCGGCUUACUGGACUGCAACUGACGUUGAGGCUCGAAAGUGUGGGUAGCAAACAGGAUUAGAUACCCUGGUAGUCCACACCGUAAACGAUGAACACUAGGUGUUAGGAGGUUUCCGCCUCUUAGUGCCGAAGCUAACGCAUUAAGUGUUCCGCCUGGGGAGUACGACCGCAAGGUUGAAACUCAAA
rnacentral:rRNA from 1 species